rnacentral:rRNA from 1 species
CCUACGGGAGGCAGCAGUGGGGAAUAUUGCUCAAUGGGGGAAACCCUGAUGCAGCGACGCCGCGUGAGUGAAGAAGUAUUUCGGUAUGUAAAGCUCUAUCAGCAGGGAAGAUAAUGACGGUAUCUGUCUGAGAGACCCCCGCUAAAUACGUGCCAGCAGCCGCGGUAAUACGUAGGGGGCAAGCGUUAUCCGGAAUUACUGGGGGUAAAGGGAGCGUGGGUGGCAGGGCAAGUCAGAUGUGAAAAACCGGGGCUCAACCCCGGGAGUGCAUUUGAAACUGUCCAGCUGGAGUGCAGGAGAGGUAAGCGGAAUUCCUAGUGUAGCGGUGAAAUGCAUAGAUAUUAGGAGGAACACCAGUGGCGAAGGCGGCUUACUGGACUGUAACUGACACUGAGGCUCGAAAGCGUGGGGAGCAAACAGGAUUAGAUACCCGUGUAGUC